UUUCAAAUACAGAAGCUUAUAUGUAAUGUGAUCUUUAGCAGCAGCAAAGACAGGCACUCUCAUAAGGAUGAGAAUAGGCAGUAGCAGUAGCAGGUGCUUUGUCAUUCAUGGUGGUAGCCUUGUUACAAAUCACAAAGUAACUGGCAUGGCAUGAAAAUCUAAAUGAGCAAAACCUGCCCUAUUCUUGGUAGUAUAUGCAAAUAGUUAUUAUAUACUCUAAAUUCUUAUAAAACGGUUGUUUAAAAAUUGAUAGUAAUUGUUUUCUAUUGCUGAAAUAAAAGCCCCUAAUCAUAUUUGCCAGAUGUACAAUGGUGAGCUCUCUAAACGUGCACCCUCAUAAAGGAUCUUACUGUUACCCAGGAUGAAGUACUGUGGCAUGAUCACAGCUCCCUGAAGCCUCAACCUCUCCAAGCUCAGGUGAUUUCUUCCACCUCAGCCUCCAAAGUAGCUGGGACUACAGGCAUGCGCCACUACACCCAGCUAAUUUUUUUGUGUGUUUUGGAGAGAUAGGGUUUCAUCAUGUUGCCCAGGCUGGUCUGAAACUCCUGGACUCAAGCAAUCUACCCACCUGGGCCUCCCAAAGUGCUAGGAUUACAGGCAUGAGCCACUACGCCCAGCAAGGUAUUUUCUGAAAAGGUGGAUUGCUGCUUCAAAGGACCUGGACCCAGAGGCCCUGUCCAUGAAUGUUUCUUGCUUGGUUCCGAGGCCACCAAACAUACUGGCUGAGCCUUCUGUAUUCACCCUGGCCUAUCAAUGCCAUCUAUGAGAGCAGCCACACUGAGAGAGCAGCAGCAUGGAGCCUACUCAAGGGUUGGACCGACUGUGACAUUUGGGGAAGCCCCACAGAACAGAGAGGGUACAGAAGCUGAUUUUGUGAUUGAUUGGAAUGGGACAGCAGUGAGGAGCCACCAUUUUGCUCACAGAUGAAAGAUCACCCAUUGUAAGAGGCUGCCUGAAGAGAAAACAAGCAAGAAAGACUGGCCAAAUUUGCAGUGCGGAGGUCCAGGAAAGAGCCUGGAUAGUGAGCAGGUUGUUUGCUGCCGACCCUAAAGAUGCAGGAAUCCAGCCAUGACCAUGCAGUUUUGGCCACACAAAUACCUUUGUUCAGAGAGGUUUUCAGCUGAGGUGACAUUUCUGCAAACAAAGUAGACUUGGCUUCCCUGGAAAGUGAUGGAACCAUUGAAAAGCCAGAAAAAUAAAGAGUUUUAAUGGAGUAAAAAUUACAAAUGCCACAUGGCAUAUGGGAUACAUUGUGAAGAAGUAAUCAUGAGACUAGAAGCCAUAGAUUUAAUAAGACUCGAUUCUCACCACAUGUACAAACAGAAUUAGGAAUAAAUCGCAUACAAUGGUAUGGAGAAAGUAGAACGAUCAUUUAUCUUUUAUUACUAUUCUUUAUCUGUUUAUUUUUAUAAAUGGACAAUGAAUAGUGUUCUGUGCAUUUACUUUAACUCUUAUGAACAAAUGCAUGCAGUAAAAUAAGGGUAAUGCUUGAAUAAUGAUUUUAAAAUUUUCUUUCUCCUUUUAGACAGUUCAUUGGUCAUAUGAUACCAUAGUUAGAAAUUUUGCUUCAUCGUCAAGAAAGUGAAUGCUUUCAUACCUCAAUGUAAUUUUGAAUCUCUCUUUGUGGUAUGGAAGCUGAAGACAACUAGCAACAUUUGGAAACUGGGGCUUUCUCUGUGAAUUUAAUUUUAUUUUAUAUUUCAUUCAGCAUGAUGCAUAUAUAGACUGAUUUAUUUAACUUUCAACUUCUCAAACAUUUUGUCUAUAUUCUUGUGGCUGGUUUCUUAAAUUAUGAGUAGAGGCUUAAAUAUAAUACUGCCUGAGCUUCUUUUCAAUGAAAAAAGUGAUGGUGAGGUGUUUCAUAUUAAGUCCCAAAUUAUGAACAAAUAUCAGUUUUAGAAUCUGAAUUUACUGGCGUUAUUUUCAAUUUUCCACUUACACAAAAGAAAAUGAAAUUUAACAUAAAACCAAUUACUUAAAAAUACUUUUUAACACCCCAUCAUCAGUGCUUCAUGUAGAAAAAACUAAUGCAGUUUGAAAUUAAAUUAUUUUACUCACCACUGGUGGCAAUUAUAAUAAAGAUUGAAAUAAUAAUUUUUGUUAUUGCUAGUGUUCAUAAUUUCUUCAUUCUUUUUUUCCAGCUCUGGAUCAUAGUAUUUCAGGAUUUGGGACAUAUUUUGUUUAAUUUAGCAAAUAAUAUUUGAUUAGUGAAAUAAUGUUUGACAUAUGAAAGUAUGUAUUUUGUAUUUUUACAUUGUGAACAAUUAAUGAACUAUAUACACAAUCUUCAUUUAAGCUACCUAAAUAUUAAUACCUACUCCAAUCACAUGACCCUGACUGUUUUCUAGCACUAACCACUAUCCUGAAUAUAUGUUUAUAAUUUUCUUGCUAUUUUCUACAUUACAAUUUUAACUCACGUACAUGCAGUCUUAAGCAAAAUAUGCUUAAUUGCCCACAUUUUUAAAGUUCUUAAAGUGGUAUCAUACUGUUGGUAGCCUUCAGUUGUUGGUUUGAUUUUGCCCAAUACUGUUUCAUGAUCCAAAUGUUUGUUGCAUGUGGUGAUAGUUUGUUAUUUUCACUGCUGUAUAGUGUUGCACUGGGUGGGUAUACAAUUUAUUUAUGGAUCCUCCUGAUGAUUACCAUCUGUGUUGUUUUCAGAUUUUGUUUUGUUUUAUUUUAGUUAUUACAAACAACAGUAUUGUACAUUGUAUUUUACAUGUCUCAUAGUUCUUAUGUGCAAGAGAGUUGUCUAGGGAAAUGUCUUUGAAGCUUUUUGAUAGUGACCCACAACUAGAAAAACUUCAUACUGUGACCAGAAAAAUAAUGUGAAGAACUGUGCAGGUGUAGCAUAUUGUCCUAUUUGCAAGCUAAUUACCCAGCCUGUUAUUAUUUCAUAGAUCCCGGUAGAAGACACAAAACUUCCACGUCAGAGACAAAGGAUUUCAUUACUCAUGGCAAAAGCAGGAAUCAGAGCUUCACAUUUGCUGGUGUCAAUUUCUCAUACCCUCAAAUCCCAGAAGCAUGACACAAAAGAGUCCAUGAUGGAUGUCUGAAUACACAGUGGGCUGUGUUAGAAGAGAGUAACACUGAGCUCAGGUGAUCUCUGCUUCUGUAGUAAGCUUGCACUUUGUCUCGGGGGAGACAUUCCCUCAUCACUCAAGACUGUUCCCUGCAAACACAACCUUGAAUAAUGGCCCAGAAGAGUGGUGAGAGUUCUAAAUUCCUGGCACUUCCAGCAAGUAUGCUCAGGAACACCAGGGCCCAAAGUGGAUUGCCUCUUCCUAAAAAUAUGUUUAUGACUGAAGCCCUUUCCUUUAAAAUGUUAGGUGAAUAUGGAUCUUUUAUUUGCUGUCCUAUUUCAUUUUCAAUAAUUCUGAGUAUGACUCACCAAAAUGAUUUCACAAAAUAAUCUGUAGUAACCUUCAAUUUAAACAACAAACAAAUAAAAAAAAUUGCUAUGUUAAGUAUAUAUUUGAGAGUGUAAUUGCAGAAUUACAUUCUUCCUUAACAUACAAUGUGAAUGGUUUUAUAAAGUGAUUUGUCAGUUAUUUAUCAUUUGCUUUUCACAAGCGGUGUAUGAAUAUUCCCCUUGCCAUAUGUCUCCACCACCACUUGGUUUUGUCAGACAUUUAUUGUUUGAUAAUCAAAUACUGCAUAAUUAUAUCUGAUUUGGUUGUAAUUUGCAUUUUACUUAUUAUUAAUGAGGUUUAGCAUUGCCAUAUGUGUAUAAGUCAUUUGUUUUUCAUUGUCUGUUAAAUGUCUGCAUAUGACUUUGGCCCGUUUUAAAAUUGAGAUAUUUCUUUCUUUUAGAUUGAUACAUGAAUUAUUUACAUUUGUGAGUUAUGAAUAUUGUCAAUAACGUCUCACUGUAGAUCAAUUUUUCACUGAAUUUCUGGUAUCAUUUUAUAAAUUAAAUUUAUUUUAAUGUUUCAAGUAUUCUAUUUUAAACUGAUAUUUUAUGGUAUUUGUCAUGUAUAAGAACUCAUUCUAGAUCAUUAGUCAUAAAGAUAUUCAUCUAAAUUUUCUUCAAAACUGUUAAAUGUCUUUAACAUUUAAGUCCUAAAUACAUCUGAACUGGUCCAAUAAUCCAAAUGAAUCAAAUAUCUAAGAAAAACUGUAACAAAGGAAGAGACAAAUCUAUAGAGAGUACAUUAUAAAACAUUCUUGAGGGAGAAUCAAUAUGAACCUAAAUUAAUAGAAAACUAUUUAUGGAGGGAAAGACAGUAUGUAAAGAAGCAAAUUAUCUUCAAUUCAUCUGUAAAUUUACUGCAAUCUCAAUAAAAAGUCAAGUAGAAGCUUUUUUGUUGAAAUUGAUAAGCCAAUAAUAAAUUGUAAAUAUUCAAAGAUCUAAUGAUAGCUAAUGCAAUAUUGAAGAUAAACUGAAAUUUUGGAGAAUCAAGACUUAUUUGAGGAUUGCAGUAAUGAAGACAGUGAUUAAUUGUGCAAGAAUAGACAAACCAUCCAAGAAAACAAAAUAGAGAGCUGAAAAGCAGACCCAGGCUUAUAUUGAUCAGUGAUAUAGGUGGCAUAACAGGAGGGUGACAAAAAGACAGUUAUUUCCAUAAAUUGUACUUCAUCAAUUGUAUAUCUGAGAGAGAGAGAAAGAGAGAGAAAUUGUUUUUAUUCAUAGUAUAAUAUAUAAUUGCUUCUAUUCAUAGAGAGAAAGACAGAGAGAUAACUGUUUCUAUUCAUAGUAUAAGCAUCUUAAUUUCAGGUGGUUUUUAGAUUUUUAUGUGAAAGUUAAAAAUAGUAAAUCCUAAGAGAGGAUAAUAUAGAGGACGUUUUCACCACAUGGGGUAUAUAAAGAUUAAUAAAACUGGACACAAAGUCUCUGAUUAUAAAAAAAAUUGACAAAUAUUUUGACUGUAAGAGAUUAUAUUAAUAAAUACACAAUACAAUUUUAAGAGAAAUGAAAUGAGAAAUGAAAAGAGCAGCAGUAGAGUGGGAUGUCAAAGUACAUAUGACUGACAAAAAAUUACAAAAUCAAGACUAAAAUGGCAUACCACUAGAGCAGCUAUAAAUACAAAGAGUAAAAAUGCUCUUCUGUUUGGAGGACGUGAAGCAUGUUCUUGGGCACUGAUUACGUGAGUAGGUAGCUUUUCCUGAUUAUAUCCUCUGCAGAGUUUUCAUAGUGUAUCAUGUCUAGAUCACAACUGGAAAGAUCUAUGGCAAAUUCAUCAUCUGUCAAUGAGCGCAACCAAUAUUUGUUACAAUUUUACCAUGUUUAAUUGUGAAAGAGUUCUUAGAGCAUCAAAACACAUAUCCAGAAAUACUAUCCUCAAGUACCAGGCAAUAUUUAUUUUUUUUCAGUUACUUUUCUGCCCUAUAUUUAUCACUAAGCUCAUAUGAACUUUUAAUUUUUUAAAAAAACCUUUAGGUGUCUGUUUUACUCAUUCCAGAGAGAAGGAACUUAUUGGCACAUGACUGAUUUAUUAAAUACACUCAAUAAAAGUUGGCAUUUUUACAGUCAGCAAGCUCAAUAAAGUUCACAAAUAAAUCUUCUAUAGUUCUCAUAUUUACAUAUUUCUCAUAUUACUCUUUACCUAGGUAUCUAUCAACUUUGAAAGAUCCAAAAAUAGAACAUGAGGGCCAUAAUUGUCUGGAAAUGAGGAGAGGGUAUAUUUCUUUGUGAGAAUUUUUUGUGUAAAUGAGUAAGUUAAGAUGAUAUUAUAAAACCAAUUAUUAUAAAAUUCCUGAGGAUAUCCUCUAUAGCAUGUACUUUGGCAUUGAUUAUCUAUAUGAGUAGGUAGCUUUUCCUGAUUACAUCCUUUAUAAAGUUUUCAUAGCAUAUCAUAGCUAUGAAAAUAUUUUUCAGAAAAAGAUAAACCACACAGGAAUAAAUGAUAAAGUGAAUGAUAACUUUUCAGUUAAAAAAAGAACUAAAUGUACAAUGAAAUUUGGGACUAAAUAAAUGGCACUUCUGCACAAUUCAGAUCUUUUUCCCCCUUAUGCUGAGCCUACUUUGUUGUUUUGCAUAACCUACAACAUGUAGACAUCUCAGUUAGAGACCUCUAUCCCAUACCCUUUUUCCCCAAAAGUUCUUUCCUUUCAUCAGUGAUGGCUGAGUCGAUUCUUAGACUAGUUCCAAUGUAUUCCCUUGAUGUAAUCAUCAGAUCUGUCUCCCCUCAGCACCUUGUUUGGGGAUGCUUCUCAUUCUCUAUGCCUAGGUACAAUUUCAAAUCCAGAGUUGGAGCUGUCAUCUUCAUAAAUUCUCCUUAGAUUAUAGGAGUUCACAAAAUCUUGUCAUUUCUGUGUACUCUUCUCGGUCUUAAGAAAUGUUUCUCCUGGAAUAACCUGUGGUCACCCUCUGAUAGGUAUGUUCUGUUAUUAUGUUUUUGUGUAAAUUUUGUCAAGCUAAUGUAACUGUGAUUUUAUUUCACAUGAUCUAUAGGGCCUUACACAAACCUGAACCUAAUAAAGACAUGUGGGACAUAAUCUCAAAAUGAUAUCACUGAAACUCAUUUCCAACCCAAUUAAACUGUUCUCCUAGGGUUGGUUGACAGUCCAGAAUUAUUAGGCUUCUCAGUGGAGCCAGAACAAUCUGUCCAGUGAUACUUGAUCCGAUCAAGUGUUUUCAUGGGUGGUUUGGAAACCAUGUCUUGCUUUGCAGAUGUUAUUUAUCACAAAGUUGCCCCUAGCCCUUUAAUGUUGAGGAUUUGAUAUUAGUGGAGUUGUGGAAGUGAAAUUAUUAGGGUGUCCUUAAAGUCCUUUUCCAUAAAUGAAUGAUUUAUUGGAGCAAUGAAAGAAAGGAAUAAGUUUGCCUGCUCAAUAUAGCCCGUCAUUUUUGAUGAAUGUGACUCACCUUUCUGUAAGAAGUUCAAUUUAGCACUGGUACCAAUUCUUGAAUUUUAUAGAGAAGGAAAUUGUAAAAUGUCUUAGAAAUGUGGCCACGGAGAGAACAAACUGAGGUUGAAUGAUGCAAAAUCAGAACUACACUGAAUGCAACGUAAUGCCAAUGCUGUUCAAUGCCAAGAGACUUACAGGAUAAAAUUUGGCUUUUUCCUUUUGAAAUAAUAUUAGCUUGCUAUUGAGUAAAAUCAGGUAGCAACACUUCAUAACUCCAUUACCUACCUGUUUUGUAUUCAUUAAAGUGUGGCUUUCUUGGCCUGACUGUCAGUGGUAUGCUGAGAUGGCUUGCCACAGCUCCAGAGUGCAUUGUAUAUAUUUCUUCUUGACUUCACGUUAAGUGACAUUAUGUUGGUAGCUUGGAAUUGGUCAUGAUGAAGCUAUAUAUACCAGGAAAACUGGCACAUGCUGCAAAUGAAGGCUCCUGCUCUUCCAGAGAUCUAACUGUUAAGUAUUUAUCAGCAUACUACUAACCUGUGUUCAAAGGUUGAACUGCAGAAGCCUCU
rnacentral:lncRNA from 1 species